UGGGGAAUUUUGGACAAUGGGCGAAAGCCUGAUCCAGCAAUGCCGCGUGUGUGAAGAAGGCCUUCGGGUUGUAAAGCACUUUUGUCCGGAAAGAAAUCCUUGGCUCUAAUACAGUCGGGGGAUGACGGUACCGGAAGAAUAAGCACCGGCUAACUACGUGCCAGCAGCCGCGGUAAUACGUAGGGUGCAAGCGUUAAUCGGAAUUACUGGGCGUAAAGCGUGCGCAGGCGGUUUGCUAAGACCGAUGUGAAAUCCCCGGGCUCAACCUGGGAACUGCAUUGGUGACUGGCAGGCUAGAGUAUGGCAGAGGGGGGUAGAAUUCCACGUGUAGCAGUGAAAUGCGUAGAGAUGUGGAGGAAUACCGAUGGCGAAAGGCAGCCCCCUGGGCCAAAUACUGACGCUCAUGCACGAAAGCGUGGGGAGCAAACAGGAUUAGAUACCCUGGUAGUCCACGCCCUAAACGAUGUCAACUAGUUGUUGGGGAUUCAUUUCCUUAGUAACGUAGCUAACGCGUGAAGUUGACCGCCUGGGGAGUACGGUCGCAAAAUUAAAACUC
rnacentral:rRNA from 1 species